rnacentral:rRNA from 1 species
CGGCGUUGCUUAACACAUGCAAGUCGAACGAUGAAGCCCAGCUUGCUGGGUGGAUUAGUGGCGAACGGGUGAGUAACACGUGGGUGAUCUGCCCUGCACUCUGGGAUAAGCCUGGGAAACUGGGUCUAAUACCGGAUAUGACCUCUUGCUGCAUGGCGAGGGGUGGAAAGUUUUUCGGUGCAGGAUGAGCCCGCGGCCUAUCAGCUUGUUGGUGGGGUAAUGGCCUACCAAGGCGACGACGGGUAGCCGGCCUGAGAGGGCGACCGGCCACACUGGGACUGAGACACGGCCCAGACUCCUACGGGAGGCAGCAGUGGGGAAUAUUGCACAAUGGGCGAAAGCCUGAUGCAGCGACGCCGCGUGAGGGAUGACGGCCUUCGGGUUGUAAACCUCUUUCAGCAGGGACGAAGCGAAAGUGACGGUACCUGCAGAAGAAGCACCGGCCAACUACGUG